rnacentral:tRNA from 1 species
GGUAGCGUGGCCGAGUGGUCUAAGGCGCUGGAUUAAGGCUUCAAUCUCUUUGGUGGUGUGGGUUUGAAUCCCACCGCUGCCA